UCCCUGGAGGAUUAAUGGUUAGGCCCAGCGCUCUCACCGCUGUCGCCCGGGUUCAAUUCCUGGCCAGGGAA